CUCUUUUGAAAAGAAAAACACGUCUCUUCUUCUUCCCUAUUUUCCCGUCAUCUUCAACAGCGACGCCAGAGCUUCCUAACUCCGUCGGCAUCGCUGCAUGAGCUUCAUCAUCGUAGUGACAGCUCCACCGCAUCUUCAUCCCUGCAUCCUCAUGCCAAAGGAUUGUUCUGUUCUUUAACUGCUCUCUCUUCUCUCCUCUUCUCCAAGGGGCAAUUUUCUCCGAAGCUUCAAAGGGAAAAAACAGAAGAACCAUCAUAAAAGAAACACAGAGUGUACCUUAGAAACAAAGCAGAAGGAGUCUUUUGCUGGCAUUGAAACAGUUUAUUUCAAAAACAACCACACGCACACCAAGUGUUUGUUGGUUUGAUACAAAGUGAGCUUUGGAAUCGAGUUUGGCAUUUACAAGUUUGCGAUAAGUACCUCAUAACAAGAUAUUUUUAUACUGUGUAACGUGACACCAUAAUUUUAUAUAAAGCUUUAGUUUUAUUCUUUUGUUUCACAACAAAUGAAUUGCUAAAACGUGACCACAUAUGUUACUUUCUAGUUACGUUUAUGUUUCAUAUGUUCACCCUAAACAUUAUAUUUUCAUAGAUGGAUGACAAAAAUAUCGAGGAUGCGAAUGUAGAAGACAUAACGAACGUCAUACCUGACUUAGGAUUUCAAGUAGAUCAAGUCACUUCUACUGACCUGUAUCAUCCUGAACUAAUACAAAUCUUAACUCGUGUCAGGGAAGAGUUAGAAAAGAGACAACAUAUUUGUGUCACAUCUCUUUCGUGUGUUACGGUGCAUACGUUGUAUUCUUUAGAAUUUUUAUCACAAUAUAGGACUAGGCAAAUCAGUUACGAAAACUUGGAAAGAGAAAAUAGGCGCACGCAGUUAAUGACACAGUUACUGACGUCUGAAAAAUGCCGCGAUGUCAUACGUAUGGGCCCGGAAGCGUUUAGGCAGUUAUGUCAAAAGUUAAGAGGAACUGGUAGAGUAAAGGAUUCAAUUCGUUCUACCGUUGAAGAGCAAGUCGCUAAAUUCCUACAUAUUAUAGGGCAUAAUGUGAAAACUAGAACCAUGUCAUUCUUCUUCCACCGCUCAGGGGAGACAAUUAGUCGUCACUUUCACAAUGUCCUACAUGCUAUUCUGUAGUUAGAGGGAGAGUUCUUCAAGCAACCAUCUGGUGAAGAUGUUCCUUAUGAAAUACGUAAUAAUAGUCGAUUCUAUCCGUUUUUUAAGGACUGCAUUGGAGCCAUAGAUGGAACCCAUAGUCGUGUGAAGGUAUCAAGGGUGGAAGCCCCUCGUUUUCGGGGAAGAAAAGAUCAUCCAACACAAAAUAUUUUAGCUGCCUGUGGGUUUGAUAUGAAAUUCACGUAUGUCUUGGCUGGUUGGGAAGGAACUGCCUCUGACUCUAGAAUUUUGAAAGAUGCUUUAAGUAGGGAACAUCCACUUCGAAUACCCGAAGGAAAAUAUUAUCUAGGCGAUGCUGGAUUUAUGCUAAAGCCUGGGAUACUGACACCAUAUAGAGGUGUUCGGUAUCACUUGAAAGAGUAUUCAGUGCGUGAGCCACAAAAUCCCAAAGAAUUAUUCAACCACCGACAUUCUUUAUUAAGAAAUGUCAUCGAAAGAUGUUUCGGAGUUCUAAAGAAAAGAUUCCCAAUUAUAACCGGCGACACAGAACCUUAUUAUUCAUUUGAAACUAUGCGAGACAUUUUUUUGGCAUGUUUCAUACUGCAUAACUAUUUAAUGGGUGUCGAUGUUGAUCAGUCUAUAAUUGAUGCGGUUGAUCGAGAAUUGCUACAAGAACAAAGCAUAGAUAGAUCACAGUCAAAUCAACCACGUGAUGAGGAAUAUAGGCAUGCAUCGUUGUUAAGAGAUAACAUUGCAUUCGAAAUGUGGAAUGUGUAUCAAUCAUUAUAGGUUACAUAAUGCCGAAUAAAGGAAAUAAAACAGCAGAAGCCAACCAACCUUCGAAAGACAAUUUAAGAUGGUCUGAUGAUAUGGAUGAAGUUUUUCUAAAUGCAUUAGCAGAGGAAGCAUCGAAAGGUAAUAGGCACGAUGGCUCGUGGACAACUGAAGCAUAUGCCAAUGUUGUGAAGACUUUGAGCAUAGUAAUAGGCCCUCACAUAAUAAAAAAUCACAUAAAGAAUAGAAUGAAGACAUUAAAAGAUCAUUUUGCUGAGGCAUAUGACUUAUUUCAUCACUUAAGUGGAUUUGCAUGGAAUCCUGUAACUAGAAAGUUUGAAGCUGAAGAGGAGGUGUGGCAAGACUUCAUUAAGGAGAAACCACAAGCAGAAAAAUGAAAAAAAAAAUGCAAAUUAAGCAUUAUGAUACUUUGAAGGAGUUGUUCGGAGCUGAUAGAGUUACUGGUAAAGGAGCUGCUACGUCACGAGAAAGGAUUCAAGAAAUUGCUAGAGAUCACAUUGAUUUGAAUGACUCAUUUGAAAACAUUGGAUUUUCUGACAUAGAUGUUAAUAUGGGACAUGAUACCCCAACGUUUCUUGCUAAUUUAGAUUCACCAAGUGGUCCUCAUAGUCAACCGAAUCAAUUAGGUGGGACUUCAGCGUCAAGAGGAACAAAGCGUAAGUCUCCUAUGAAUGAUUUUUUGGAGGCACAAUAUGAAAAAGUUGCUUUGGGAAUUACUACCAUGGCCGAUGCUGUCAAAGAGGGUACUUAUCUGUCUAGCAAGCUACAUGACGUAGCUCAGAGACAGGUUGAAUCAGCUGAGAGACAAGCUUCUAUGGCUGAGAGGCAAGUUUCGGUUGCCGAAAAACAAGUCUCGUUAAUUGAAAGACAAGUUGCAAUUGCUGAAAAAGGGUUGGCUAUUAUGCAACAAAGUAGGCCUCGCCUUUAUAGCGAAUCAGAUGUAUGGGAUAUGUUGUCUGAAUUGGGUCUGAUAGGUUCAGCUCGGAUGUAGUGUUAUCAGUUUUUAUGUGAAAAUGAGCAGAAAAAGCGCCAAAUCUUUGGGAUCCCACCUGAAAUGCGAUUGGAUGCUCUUUUUCAUUUCAUGACAGCUGCUGGUGUUCGCUUAGGAGAUAUGGUACUAUCAUAAAACAUUAACCAUUACAGGAAUCAUAAUUUGAAAAUGUUUGGGAACAAGAAGGUCACAGCUUAGUACAAGUAAAAUUUGAUCAUGUGUUAAUAUUUUUGACUCGGAGAAACUUUAUUUUUUUGAAGUAGAUGGGUACAGAUGGCUCCAACUAUGUAGAUUUUAUUUUUUGGAAGUAGGCGAUGUCGCUGACCAUGAAGAAUUACCCUUUUGAAAAGUGUUGUUUGGUGAUAAAAUAGUACUCUCUAAGAGUUCUUUUGGUUAUUACUUUUUUGGCGUUUUGUUAUAUGUUUAUAAAAAUUGUAUAUGAUUUUUGGUCGCACAUACUUGGAAAGAAAUGCUACCAACUUUUGAGAAUAUUUUAUUUUGUAAUUACAAUUUAGUGAAUUUUUUUUAAAUAUGCUUAAGAAGAUUAAUGACGUAAA